UACGUAGGGUGCGAGCGUUGUCCGGAAUUAUUGGGCGUAAAGAGCUUGUAGGCGGUUUGUCGCGUCUGCUGUGAAAAUCCGGGGCUCAACCCCGGACUUGCAGUGGGUACGGGCAGACUAGAGUGUGGUAGGGGAGACUGGAAUUCCUGGUGUAGCGGUGAAAUGCGUAGAUAUCGAGAGGAACACCUGCGGCGAAGGCGGGUUGCUGGGCCGACACUGACGCUGAUGCGCGAAAGCCAGGGGAGCGAACGGG
rnacentral:rRNA from 1 species